UCUUCGGACUGCGGAAGAGUGGCGAACGGGUGAGGAACACGUAAGAAUCUGCCCCUCGGUCGGGGACAACUCUUGGAAACGAGAGCUAAUACCCGAUACGCUGUGGAGUGAAAGAAUUUCGCCGAGGGAUGAUCUUGCGUCUGAUUAGCUAGUUGGUGUGGUAACUGCACACCAAGGCGACGAUCAGUAGCUGGUCUGAGAGGAUGGACAGCCACAUUGGAACUGAGACACGGUCCAAACUCCUACGGGAGGCAGCAGUGGGGAAUUUUCCGCAAUGGACGAAAGUCUGACGGAGCGACGCUGCGUGAAGGAUGACGGCCCGCGGGUUGUAAACUUCUUUUCUCGAAGAAGAAACAAAUGACGGUAUUCGAGGAAUAAGCAUCGGCUAACUCCGUGCCAGCAGCCGCGGUAAGACGGAGGAUGCAAGUGUUAUUCGGAAUGAUUGGGCGUAAAGAGUCUGUAGGCUGUAUAGAAAGUCUUUUGUUAAAUUCCUCGGCUCAACCGAGAUCAAGCAAAGGAAACUUCUAUACUUGAG
rnacentral:rRNA from 1 species